rnacentral:rRNA from 1 species
GAUGAACGCUAGCUACAGGCUUAACACAUGCAAGUCGAGGGGAAACGACAUCGAAAGCUUGCUUUUGAUGGGCGUCGACCGGCGCACGGGUGAGUAACGCGUAUCCAACCUGCCCACCACUUGGGGAUAACCUUGAGAAAGUAAGACUAAUACCCAAUGAUAUCUCUAGAAGACAUCUGAACGGGAUUAAAGAUUUAUCGGUGAUGGAUGGGAUGCGUCUGAUUAGCUUGUUGUCGGGGUAACGGCCCACCAAGGCGACGCUCAGUAGGGGUUCUGAGAGGAAGGUCCCCCACAUUGGAACUGAGACACGGUCCAAACUCCUACGGGAGGCAGCAGUGAGGAAUAUUGGUCAAUGGGCGAGAGCCUGAACCAGCCAAGUAGCGUGCAGGAUGACGGCCCUAUGGGUUGUAAACUGCUUUUAUAAGGGAAUAAAGUGGGAGUCGUGACUCCUUUUGCAUGUACCUUAUGAAUAAGGACCGGCUAAUUCCGUGCCAGCAGCCGCCGUAA